rnacentral:lncRNA from 1 species
GUUUCACUCUCCCAUCAACAUGUGACAUUGUCAGAGUUUUAUUAAAGCCAUUUUGCUAGGUGUACAGUAAUAUUACAUUGUGGUUUCAAUUUGUAUUUCCCUAAUGACUAAUUAUGUUUUAAAUCAUUUUUAUAAUGGGUCAUUUGUUUUCUUAUUAUUAUACCUUCAUUGGUUUUUAAAAAGCUUCCUAGCACCUAAAACACUCCUUACCAUGGCAGGUAAGGCCCUGUAUGAUAUAACCCCUGCCUAUCUUUUCAGCUUCAUCUUUCACUUAAGUACUGUCCAUAUAGCUUGAUACUCUACUGAAACAAGUUAUAAUAUCAUAAUAGACCUCCUUCGUAUUCUCACUCCCAAAUCUGUAAUUCUACCUGCACCUUUUGCUCUUUAUUCCAUCCAGAUAAAACUGGAGAAGGUCUCCCCUACUAACAAAAAUCAAACCCUUCACAGGAGAUUUUGAUCCCAUUCCCUCUCAUGGGGUCAUUGUCUAGAACUUCUUUCUUUUCCUUUCUGUUGUGUGCUAUUGAUCUUUCAUUAGUAUUUAAUCAUCCUCACCAGUAACUAAUAUGCUUUAUUACCUCCCAUUAUAAAGAAAUAAGAGAGCCUCCCUUGUUCCCUAAUUACCCUCUAGCUAUUGUACCCUCUAGCUAAUUCUUUUCAUAGUCAAACCUCUCAUAAAUGUUGUCUAUAAAUGCUGAUCCCACUUCUUUCCAUCCUUUCCUGCUUUCUGAUCUGGCUUUUGUCCCCACUACACUAAAAUGAUCUUGUCAAGGUACAAGUGAUCUCCUUGUGGCCAAAUAGCAUGAUAAUUCUCUUGAUUGAAACAGUCUAUUCUCUUAGCUUUGGUGAUGCCACAUUCUCUGAAGUUUUCUCCCGUUUCAUUAGCUGCUACUCAGUUUUCUGUACACUUUCUUUUUCUCUAGCCAACUUCUAGUUGUGGCCAUUUCUCAAGGCUCAGUCUCCUUCCACUCUCUCCCUAGCUUUUCAACCAGCCCCAUGAUACUAAAUGUCAUCUAUAUGCUGAUCAGUCCUAAAUUUAUAUUUCUGGACUAAACCUAUCCUUUGAAUCCUAGACUAAAAUAUUCAAUGACUAUAACAUCACUACUGAGAUUCUCCAAUAGAAACAUGUCCCAAAGUGAAUGUUGGUAUCCAGCUUUUCCUACAAUCUGUUCAUCCAGGAGUCUUCUUCAUGUGCCCUUUCAUCAGUUGCUCACACUAUAGACCUGAAUGGCUUUCCUUUCAUUCCUUACAUCUAGUCCAGUACAGAUCUUGUCAGUUCUACCUACCAUACAUAUCUCAGACUCAACCACAUCUUGUCGUCUUCAGUAACCAUCAUUUAACUUAUCAUCUGCACAGGUCUGGGCCAUUCGGAUAGCCACUGCACUAAUUUAUCUAGCUAUUCCCCCACCAAUCUCACCAAACAGCCAGAAUGACCUUCUUAAAGCAUAUGGAAUCAUACCAAUUUCUCCAUUGUGUUGUGUUGCUCAUCCACAUGGGUUGUCCAUGUGCGGCCCCUGUGUGUGUGUGUACCCUCCACAUGGCUCAUCCACAUGUGGUCUCUGUGUGUGCAUCCCCUCCAGGUGAAUCAUCCAUAUGUGGUUUUUGCGUGUGUGUGUGUGUCCCUCCUGCAGGUAGUUAAUGCAUGUGUGGUCUCUGUGUGUGUUUCCCCCUCAGCCGCCUCUCCUCCCUCAUUUCAUGCCCCUCUCCCACUGACCACCGUCCUCCAGCUCCCCUGACCUCAUUUUUUCCCUUGAACCUAUAGAGUUAUUUUCUCUCAGUGGCUUUGGCCAGUUUGGUGUGUCAACCUUGCAUGCUCAUUCAUGCAUGGCUCCUCAUUCUCACCUGUCAGUACUUGUUGCGCCUCCAAAGAGCAACCUUCCUAGUCCUCCUUUUAAGAAGAAAUAGGUUCCAUACUCCAUUGUUCACUGUGGCCUAGCCUGUUUGUCUCCUUUAUAACAUUACUCCAUUUGCAUUUUUAUUAGUUUUUAAUUUCCUUGAUCUCUCUCGGACAAUAGAUGAUAAAUUCCAUGUGGGAAGAAACUAUGUGUUCCAUAUAUCAGUGUAUUCCCAGCAUCUACAUAGUAUCAAGUGUAUAAUAGGCAUUCAAUAAAUAUUCUUAACAAACUAUUUGUAACUCUAACACUCAAGUUCCUUCACUGUUUCACACGUCUAAACUUUUGUGUUGUGGCGGUAUUUUCUUGCCUAACUGAUCCCACCUUCUUAAGGACUUUUUAGAAUGAAAGGUAUUGGAGGUCUCAAUGAUCAUUGGCUUCAUAGUUCAUACAUGGUCUUCUCUUACUGAGGAUGCGAAGUACCCACAACCCCCACCGCACCUGCAGGAAAAUGAGAGUGAUGCUCACUGGCCAUCAGAAUGCAGGUGAUGAGGCCGCACAUGAUCCAGUGUUCGGGACAGGUAGAGUGGAGACUGCCCUGUCUCCAUAGCCAGACUGCCCCAGCUCAAAGAGGUUGCACAUUUCAAGCAUUGUAGUCGUAGUAUAAGAAGAGAUUCUUAGAGCUAAGAAAACUCGAUUUUUGCCAGCUGCCAUUUGAAUUCAAAUUUUAGAUUAGAUUUGAACUCAAAUUUUUCUCUUUUUGUAAAGCUUAGUUUCAAGAGGAAAUGACUGAGCUAUAAUUUUUCUCAGUUUCCCAUGAUGUUAAUAUAUAUCUACAAUUUUGGUAAUGAAUGUAUGAAUUCAGACAUAUUCUGAAAUCCGAGUCUGGGUGGCAAAAUUUUGGCAAUAAUUUGAGACUGUCAAACUUGUGAAAGUAUGUUGCUUUGGUAAAAGUGUUGAACUAGAAAGUUAAAGAUUCUAUCAUUGAUGUAAACCCCACAGUACAAAUGACAGACCUCAAGUGAUAUAGCCCACAGUCUAGUAGAAUAAGUUAGUCAAUCACAUGUCGGCGUGCAUUUGCAUUGGUUUUAUUUUAGAUUGAGGAACAUGUGCAUGUUUGUCACAUGGGUAUACUGCAUGCUGGCGGGCACAGGGCUUGUAGUGUGCCCAUUACCCAAAUAGUGAACAUUGUAACUGACAGCUAAUUUUUCAACACUCACUCCCCUCCCAACCUCCCAACUUUUGGAGCUCCCAGUGUCUAUUAUUUCCAUCUCUAUGUCCAUGUGUACCCAUUGUUGUUAGCUCCCAUUUAUAAUCAAGAACAAGCAGUGUUUGAUUUUCUCUUUCUGAGUUAGUUCACUUAGCAUAGUGGCCUCCAGCUGCAUCCAUGUUGUUGCAAAGGAUGUGAUUUCAUUCUUUUUUAUGGCUGCUGAUUAAGAUGGAUCAAAGGCUUACACCAAUCUGUAACUGGGCACUUGUGUAUAAAUAGUCAAUUUUCCGUUGACUGCUUUGGGAAGAGCAGGAGAAGUGACAGGGAAGGGGCCCCCAGGAGAGGGUGCCAGACAAGAAUGCAGAGCAGAGAAAGCCACGCAUGCAGCAGGGCAGAGUGAGCACACGCAGCUCACACGGCGUGAACGCGCAGCAGAGCAGAGGGAGCGCCCGCAGCUCACACGGCGUGAACGCGCAGCGGAGCAGAGUGAGCGCGUGCAGCUCCCACGGCGUGAACGCGCAGUGAGUGGGGAAGGCUUGCAGAGGCAGCUCCUUUUGGGCCUUGGGGAGCAUGUGACAGAUGAUGACCUUUUAUCUCAAGACCACAAGACAGUCAGAGAAAGGAGCCACACAGCCAGCUGUUAUCCUGGUUGCUGUGGGGAGUGGUCCAGGAUAGUGCUAGUAAGAGUGAUAAUGGUACAGAGGCUGCUGUGGUGUCCAGAUGAGAGAUGGACAGCUAACAAGCUCUCCCUAUUAUGUCAAUAAGGACCACGAGGCCACCCUUAAAGAAACUGGAAAAUGCUUUGCUUUGUUAUUUUAAAUAUUUUCAUUUAUACUCUGCAAUGUAAAUAUAUUAAUAUUUUCAUUAAAAAUACCCCACAGUUAUAUAAAGAGUGAAAAUUCCACUAACCACUCACAUACAGCCCCACUACUCUCCCCAGAACCAAAUAGGCCCAUAGCUGGCUUCUCCAGCCACCGUGCCACAGGCUGCUGGCAGCCUGGCCCCCUCUCCCUUCUCCACACUGUUGGCAACGGCUUCCCUCAGUUCUCCAGCACAGGUUACAUCUCUCUCAGCUAGCCUGAGUAUUCUUUUUCAGAGCAACCUGAUUAUUUUGUUCUAGAAAAAGCACAACCUGUAAUUAUUUGUUCACUUGAGUAUAAUCUGACUCCUCCAUUAUAAUAAACCCUCUGAGGCAGCAACGUGGUCUCAGUGUUUCUGCCCCAGUGCUUGAAACAAACAUGAUGUAAGGGAGAAGCGCAGUAAAGGGCUGACAGCUUCUACUGGGCAAGCUUUGGGGUGCAAAUAUUCACAUUUUUUUUCUCUCCACACGCGAGGUCUUUCCCUCUCUCUCUAGUUGACCCUCAUUAUUCAUGGAUUUCUUAUUUGUGAAUCUACCUACUCACCAACAUUUAUUGGUAACCCUCAAAUCAACCCUCUCAAGUGCACAGAGAAGUGAAAAGUUUGUGUCUUCAGAGCACAUGCCCCCAGCUGCAUGAGGUGAAAGUUUGUCUUCAGAGCACAUGCUUCCAGCUGAAUGAGGCGAAAGUUUGUCUUCAGAGCACAUGCUCCAAGAUGAAUGAGGUGAAAGUUUGUCUUCAGAGCACAUGCUUCCAGCUGAAUGAGUGAAAGUUUGUCUUCAGAGCACAUGCUUCCAGCUGAAUGAGGCGAAAGUUUGUCUUCAGAGCACAUGCUCCAAGAUGAAUGAGGUGAAAGUUUGUCUUCAGAGCACAUGCUUCCAGCUGAAUGAGUGAAAGUUUGUCUUCAGAGCACAUGCUUCCAGCUGAAUGAGUGAAAGUUUGUCUUCAGUGCACAUGCUCCCAGCUGAAUGAGGCGAAAGUUUGUCUUCAGUGCACAUGCUCCCAGAUGAAUGAGUGAAAGUUUGUCUUCAGAGCACAUGCUUCCAGCUGAAUGAGGUGAAAGUUUGUCUUCAGUGCACAUGCUUCCAGCUGAAUGAGUGAAAGUUUGUCUUCAGUGCACAUGCUCCAAGAUGAAUGAGGUGAAAGUUUGUCUUCAGUGCACAUGCUUCCAGCUGAAUGAGUAAAAGUUUGUCUUCAGAGCACAUGCUCCCAGCUGAAUGAGUGAAAGUUUGUCUUCAGUGCACAUGCUCCCAGCUGAAUGAGUGAAAGUUUGUCUUCAGUGCACAUGCUCCCAGCUGAAUGAGGCGAAAGUUUGUCUUCAGAGCACAUGCUCCCAGAUGAAUGAGGCGAAAGUUUGUCUUCAGAGCACAUGCUCCCAGAUGAAUGAGGCGAAAGUUUGUCUUCAGAGCACAUGCUUCCAGCUGAAUGAGUGAAAGUUUGUCUUCAGUGCACAUGCUUCCAGCUGAAUGAGUGAAAGUUUGUCUUCAGAGCACAUGCUUCCAGCUGAAUGAGUGAAAGUUUGUCUUCAGAGCACAUGCUUCCAGCUGAAUGAGUGAAAGUUUGUCUUCAGUGCACAUGCUCCCAGAUGAAUGAGGCGAAAGUUUGUCUUCAGUGCACAUGCUUCCAGCUGAAUGAGCGAAAGUUUGUCUUCAGUGCACAUGCUUCCAGCUGAAUGAGUGAAAGUUUGUCUUCAGAGCACAUGCUCCCAGCUGAAUGAGUGAAAGUUUGUCUUCAGUGCACAUGUUCCCAGAUGAAUGAGGCGAAAGUUUGUCUUCAGAGCACAUGCUCCCAGCUGAAUGAGUGAAAGUUUGUCUUCAGUGCACAUGCUUCCAGCUGAAUGAGUGAAAGUUUGUCUUCAGUGCACAUGCUCCCAGCUGAAUGAGGGGAAAGUUUGUCUUCAGAGCACAUGCUUCCAGCUGAAUGAGUGAAAGUUUAUCUCCAGUGCACAUGCUCCAAGAUGAAUGAGGUGAAAGUUUGUCUUCAGUGCACAUGCUUCCAGUUGAAUGAGUGAAAGUUUGUCUUCAGAGCACAUGCUUCCAGCUGAAUGAGUGAAAGUUUGUCUUCAGUGCACAUGCUCCCAGCUGAAUGAGGCGAAAGUUUGUCUUCAGUGCACAUGCUCCCAGCUGAAUGAGGUGAUGCUCGGCCUUCUGGUUUUAACUCAUACUGUAAGCAACUGUUUUCUUUUCACAGUUUAUUUUUUAUUUUUUAUUUUAUUUUAUUUUUUGAGACGGAGUCUCGCUCUUUGGCCCAGGCCAGAGUGCAGUGGCGCAGUCUUGCCUCACCGCAAGCUCCGCCUCCCGGCAUGAACCCUCAGCCUCCCUUGUAGCUGGGACUACAUUCACAGUUUAUUUAGUGCCACUUUUUUCGCCGCAUUUUUAUGCUUUUUGUUGGUGAUUUCACUGUUUAAAAUAGCCUCAAGCACAGUGCGGAAGUGCUGCUUAGCGUUCCUGAGAGCAAGAAGGCUGUGAGGUGCCUUUCGGAGAAAACACGCAUUAGAUAAGCUUCAUUCAGACAUGAGUUACAGUGCCGUUGGUCAUGUUACUUACUCUACAAUAUAUACUAAGUAAGGUGUCUUUAAACAGAAACAUACAUAAAACAAGGUUGUAUAUUGAUGGGGUGAUGCUGUGUCCUGAGGCUCACGGGAACCUAACGCGGUCUUUCCUCCAUGAGCGAUGGUUCACUGUUCACUAAUUCAAUGUUCGUGCUGAAAAAGAAAAAUGACAUCCUAAGCCCCUGAGCUGACUGAAUGGACUCCUUGUUGGCCAAGGGGGCGCCAGAGAAAUUUUAAAAGCUGAGUUCCUGGCCAUGAUGGAAUGGGGAGUUUGGACACGCCUUGUUAUACCCCCUCCCUCGCUAAUCGCCAUUAGACUUCCUUACGCGAGGGUCAAUCAGAAGCCACAGCCCUUUCCAAAGACUUGCCAGACUCCCCUUCCGUGGUUUUGACACAGUGACGAACCGGCAUUCCUUCCUGAUAAGAGACCACCGACCGUGGACUGCUUCUGGCCGGUGUACAGUGGCUGCACACGGGAUGCCUCUGCGCCCUCCAUUUCAUCUUCUACAUACAGACCUAAUUUUAGUGCAUUUAAACGUUAAGUGCUCACCCCAGAUUGAAUGUGGACGGACAUGCAUGCAUGUUUGCUCUCUAUGCAUGCAUCCAUCCAUCAUGAAUAACCUGUUAGAUACAUGUACUUAGCCAACCCAUUUGGCAUAAAUCCCUGUUCCAGCCUUUCCGCCCUCAAAGUGCCUGCUUUUGGUUUCUGCUUCCUAGCCUGCAAGAUGGCCAGCCUGCAGGGUGCAAUCCUUUGUCAGAAAUAAAGCUCUCCUCUCCAAAUGUA